GAUGAACGCUGGCGGCGUGCCUAAUACAUGCAAGUCGAGCGAACAGACGAGGAGCUUGCUCCUCUGACGUUAGCGGCGGACGGGUGAGUAACACGUGGAUAACCUACCUAUAAGACUGGGAUAACUUCGGGAAACCGGAGCUAAUACCGGAUAAUAUAUUGAACCGCAUGGUUCAAUAGUGAAAGACGGUUUUGCUGUCACUUAUAGAUGGAUCCGCGCCGCAUUUGCUAGUUGGUAAGGUAACGGCUUACCAAGGCGACGAUGCGUAGCCGACCUGAGAGGGGGGACGGCCACAACGGGACUGGGACACGGUCCCGAAUCCGAAGGGAGGGAGCAGUAGGGAAGUUUACGGAAAGGGGGGAAGCCUGACGGAGCAACGCCGGGGUGGGGAAGAAGGUCCUCGGAUCGGAAAACUCCGUUAUUAGGGAAGAACAAAUGUGUAAGUAACUAUGCACGUCUUGACGGUACCUAAUCAGAAAGCCACGGCUAACUACGUG
rnacentral:rRNA from 1 species